rnacentral:rRNA from 1 species
GACGAACGCUGGCGGCGUGCUUAACACAUGCAAGUCGAACGGAAAGGCCCUGCUUUUGUGGGGUGCUCGAGUGGCGAACGGGCGAGUAACACGUGAGUAACCUGCCCUUGACUUUGGGAUAACUUCAGGAAACUGGGGCUAAUACCGGAUAGGAGCUCCUGCUGCAUGGUGGGGGUUGGAAAGUUUCGGCGGUUGGGGAUGGACUCGCGGCUUAUCAGCUUGUUGGUGGGGUAGUGGCUUACCAAGGCUUUGACGGGUAGCCGGCCUGAGAGGGUGACCGGCCACAUUGGGACUGAGAUACGGCCCAGACUCCUACGGGAGGCAGCAGUGGGGAAUAUUGCACAAUGGGCGGAAGCCUGAUGCAGCAACGCCGCGUGCGGGAUGACGGCCUUCGGGUUGUAAACCGCUUUCGCCUGUGACGAAGCGUGAGUGACGGUAAUGGGUAAAGAAGCACCGGCUAACUGCGUG